UGCAGUCGAACGGUAACAGGUCUUCGGACGCUGACGAGUGGCGAACGGGUGAGUAAUACAUCGGAACGUGCCCAGUCGUGGGGGAUAACUACUCGAAAGAGUAGCUAAUACCGCAUACGAUCUGAGGAUGAAAGCGGGGGACCUUCGGGCCUCGCGCGAUUGGAGCGGCCGAUGGCAGAUUAGGUAGUUGGUGGGAUAAAAGCUUACCAAGCCGACGAUCUGUAGCUGGUCUGAGAGGACGACCAGCCACACUGGGACUGAGACACGGCCCAGACUCCUACGGGAGGCAGCAGUGGGGAAUUUUGGACAAUGGGCGAAAGCCUGAUCCAGCAAUGCCGCGUGCAGGAUGAAGGCCUUCGGGUUGUAAACUGCUUUUGUACGGAACGAAAAAGCUUCUCCUAAUACGAGAGGCCCAUGACGGUACCGUAAGAAUAAGCACCGGCUAACUACGUGCCAGCAGCCGCGGUAAUACGUAGGGUGCGAGCGUUAAUCGGAAUUACUGGGCGUAAAGCGUGCGCAGGCGGUUAUGUAAGACAGAUGUGAAAUCCCCGGGCUCAACCUGGGAACUGCAUUUGUGACUGCAUGGCUAGAGUACGGUAGAGGGGGAUGGAAUUCCGCGUGUAGCAGUGAAAUGCGUAGAUAUGCGGAGGAACACCGAUGGCGAAGGCAAU
rnacentral:rRNA from 1 species